AUUUAUCCUUGCAUAACAUCAAGUUGCCAGUUCUAUGCCGACAUGCAAAACUCGGGAGCCUUAUUUUUUCAUAUGAAUCAUCUGGUGUUUAUGUCUGCAAAAAGAUCAUUAUGUAGAGUGAACAAGAAAUUCAAACUCCUGCAGAACCCAUUCGCCACUAAACAUAACACUAGUAAUAAUGCCUAAUGCAAUGGAGGUCGAAUGAUUUACCUCUCAUCUCCUUUUAACUGAGCUGGCUUGUCAACGGAAGAGAAUAUUAUCCAGUAUCCCAGGAACUUGGUGCCACAUUCAUGCUUAAAAAUCCUCCUGGUAUGAAAUUUCAGGCCUUUCUGAUGAAGAAAUAAAAAACGGAGAACUUGGUGAAUUCCUACUGGCUUCUGCUGAGAAAGUAGACAAUCAACAGUUUGACCCUGCACUUAAUAUAAUAUAAAUGGGUUAAGUUUAACAAUUGUGUGCAAGAAUACUACACUUCAAUCUCUUUCUGCAUAGAAGUCCAUUUCCC
rnacentral:lncRNA from 1 species